GAUGAAGAACGUAGCGAAAUGCGAUAAGUAAUGUGAAUUGCAGAAUUCAGUGAAUCAUCGAAUCUUUGAACGCACCUUGCGCCCUUUGGACAUUCCGAAGGGCAUGCCUGUUUGAGUAUCAUGAACACCUCAACUCUCACGGCUUGUCCGUGAUGAGCUUGGACUUUGGGGGUCUUGCCGGCCUGUGGUCGGCUCCUCUCAAAUGGAUCAGCUUGCCAGUGUUUGGUGGCAUCACAGGUGUGAUAACUAUCUGCGCUUGUGGUUUUCCAUCAGAUAACCUUCAGUGAUAUGGAGGUUCGCUGGAGCUCACAAAUGUCGCUCCUUAGUGAGGACAGCUCUUUGAACGUUUGAUCUCAAAUCAGGUAGGACUACCCGCUGAACUUAAGCAUAUCAAUAAGCGGAGGA
rnacentral:misc_RNA from 1 species